UACAGGGGGGGCAAGCGUUGUUCGGAAUUACUGGGCGUAAAGGGCUCGUAGGCGGCCAACUAAGUCACACGUGAAAUCCCCAGGCUUAACCUGGGAACUGCGUGUGAUACUGGAUGGCUUGAAUCCGGGAGAGGGAUGCAGAAUUCCAGGUGUAGCGGUGGAAUGCGUAGAGAUCCGGAGGAAGACCGGUGGCGAAGGCGCUCUGCUGGGCAGUCUCUGACACUGAGGCGCGACAGCGUGGGGAGCAAACAGG
rnacentral:rRNA from 1 species